rnacentral:rRNA from 1 species
AGAGUUUGAUCCUGGCUCAGGAUGAACGCUAGCUACAGGCUUAACACAUGCAAGUCGAGGGGAAACGACAUCGAAAGCUUGCUUUUGAUGGGCGUCGACCGGCGCACGGGUGAGUAACGCGUAUCCAACCUGCCCACCACUUGGGGAUAACCUUGCGAAAGUAAGACUAAUACCCAAUGACGUCUCUAGAAGACAUCUGAAAGGGAUUAAAGAUUUAUCGGUGAUGGAUGGGGAUGCGUCUGAUUAGCUUGUUGGCGGGGUAACGGCCCACCAAGGGCUACGGAUCAGUAGGGGUUCUGAGAGGAAGGUCCCCCACAUUGGAACUGAGACACGGUCCAAACUCCUACGGAGGCA